AUGUGUCUAAUAGUCGGACAGGGGAGUACUACCAAACAUCCAAAAAAAAAAACACGUUUGCCAUUGGUAAAUUGUUCGGACAAUAAAUUAAUUGUCUUAAAUCGAUUUCUGGGAAAAAGAAAGGAAGGCAAGGUGAAGCCGGGGGCACCGCAACAAAAGGCAAUGAAACGCAGGCUCACUGGCAAGGCUGAGCUAGUAGCGACUCGAAGCCGGGGAGGUCUCAGGGUGUGGGGUGGGCUGCCGACGCUAGAGAAUAAGGACUGUGAGGGCUUAUGGGGAAGGCUAGGGUCACAGGGGCUUAUACGGAAGGCGGCAUGA
rnacentral:rRNA from 1 species